UACGUAGGGUGCGAGCGUUAAUCGGAAUUACUGGGCGUAAAGCGUGCGCAGGCGGUUCGUUGUGUCUGAUGUGAAAGCCCCGGGCUCAACCUGGGAAUGGCAUUGGAAACUGGCGAGCUAGAGUGUGGCAGAGGGGGGUGGAAUUCCUGGUGUAGCGGUGAAAUGCGCAGAUAUCAGGAGGAACACCAAUGGCGAAGGCAGCUCGCUGGGACGUGACUGACGCUGAGACGCGAAAGCGUGGGGAGCAAACAGG
rnacentral:rRNA from 1 species